ACUGUACUCCACUGCUCUCUUUGGAUCCUGCAACUGAAUAUUGCUCCUAAAUGGGAAGCCUGUCUUGCAAGGGGACAACUGCUACAAUAUUGCCAAAAUUAGAAUCCAGAGAAGGUAACAUGGUGCCAUCUCCAAGCCUCUGGCUUGAGAGGUCGGAAAAGAAGCUCUUUCUAAUUGGAAAACAGCCAGCAAAGUUGUUAAUUCUAAAAAAUGAGUAUGUCUCUGGAGUUAAAAAUUUUCUGUAAAGAGCCACAGUGGCUUUGCCUUCUCUAACACACUCCAAGAACUAGUAUCCUUGCCACACCAUCCCAAAGAGAUUAAUGUUAUAUUGGAGUCCUUAGAAAAAAGAACAUAUCAAUCAUAUCCUUCAAUCAGUCUCAGCAAUGAAAAGCUUGAGAGCCCCUUUGCGGGUUUGUCUGAGCUAUCUGAAGAUUUCUGGCCAAUAGUUUGUGAGGGAAUUGGAACACUUCAAUUCUCGUCUGAUACAUUUAAGGAAAGAUACAAGUUCUCCACACUUUGCUUCCAACUGCACAGACAAG
rnacentral:lncRNA from 1 species